GGGGAAUUUUCCGCAAUGGGGGCAACCCUGACGGAGCAAUACCGCGUGGGGGAGGAAGGCCCUUGGGUUGUAAACCCCUUUUCUCAGGGAAGAAGAACUGACGGUACCUGAGGAAUCAGCCACGGCUAACUCCGUGCCAGCAGCCGCGGUAAGACGGAGGAGGCAAGCGUUAUCCGGAAUCAUUGGGCGUAAAGCGUCCGUAGGUGGUCCUUCAAGUCUGCUGUCAAAGCCCAGGGCUCAACCCUGGAGAGGCAGUGGAAACUGAAAGACUUAGAGUGCGGUAGGGGUAGAGGGAAUUCCCGGUGUAGCGGUGAAAUACGUAGAGAUCAGGAAGAACACCGGUGGCGAAAGCGCUCUGCUAGGCCGUAACUGACACUGAGGGACGAAAGCUAGGGGAGCGAAUGGGAUUAGAUACCCCAGUAGUC
rnacentral:rRNA from 1 species